CUGGAUCACCUCCUUUCUAUGGAGAUCAUUUCUCUUUCUCUAUUCUAUUGAUAAUGUUCUUACAGCGUAUUAAGCGCUGGAUAACUUAUCAAAUGGACAUUGGAAACUAUAUAGUAGAUUAAAUACAAUUUUAACUCUUGUUUAUAUAAACAGAGUUAGCUGUCAAUCAAAUUAAACAAAAACAAAAUAGGUUAAAAUAAUUAAGGGCGCAUGGUGGAUGCCU
rnacentral:misc_RNA from 1 species